CGCAACUUCCGUCGCCUGAGUGUGACGUCGGUUCUAGCUCAUAUUUUCAUGGCUGCCUUCGGAGAAUGAACUCCAAGAAUAAGAGAUGAGUUUGGAGUGUCCAGUCAUCAGAAGCAGAGCUGUGGGUCGUGUGGACAGACAUUGACUGUAAUGAUGGACUUCUGCUGAUGGACAGAAUAAGAGAUGUGUUUGGAGCGUUACACCCAGGGACGUGUGUAAUGAUGGAUUCUGCUGCUCAUGGAUGGGCAAAAGCAUAACCCCUGCUGGACGUUGUGCUGGAGCUUAGGGGACACCCCAUGAUCCCCUGCACCUUCUCACUCGCACCACACCUUCAUAUCGCUGAGAUCCAGCUGGGAUCGAACCAGCAACCUCUGAACCCGUGAGGCAGCGCUCUUACCUGUGAGCCACAGAUCUCUUGUCUGAACAUAUGCAGGAACUUAUAUUUGACUCUUCACCUGUGUGAUUUUUACAAUAAAGUAGUUAAAGCUUU